rnacentral:rRNA from 1 species
AUGGCGAUGAUGACAAAUAAGAGGUCAGUCCUAUUUUUGGAAGUAGCUGCUCUGGCUCCUCAUAUGGAGCAGGUGUCUCCUCUACCGCGGGUGACGCUUCCUGUGCCCGAGUCGGUGGUCGUCGGCAAUGUCAACAAAGAAGACGUUAGUCAUCUCUCCUCUGGCUUCUCUGCCGGAGCAGGUGGUGGCUCCUCAGCCUCAGCCGGGUGUUCGUCUACCGUGGUUGUUGCCUCCCCUGCCCCCACCCGUGGUCAGUCGCCGACGAGAACGAAGAAGAGGCAAGCUUGGGAAAAAUGUGUGGCAAAAUGUGGUCCUAAGUGA